UCAAUUCUGCAGCUUUAGGAGU
rnacentral:miRNA from 1 species